rnacentral:rRNA from 1 species
GGGGAAUCUUCCACAAUGGGCGGGCGCCUGACGGAGCAAGACCGCGUACGGGAGGACGGCCUAUUGGUUGAAAACCGCUUUUGAUAGGGAAGAAGCUCUGACGGUACCUAUCGAAUCAGCAUCGGCUAACUCCAUGCCAGCAACCACGGUAGUCUGGAGGAUGCAAGCGUUAUCCGGAAUUAUUGGGCGUAAAGCGUCCGUAGGUGGUUGUUCAAGUCUGCUGUUAAAGCGUGCGGCUUAACCGCAUACCAGCAGUGGAAACUGGGCGACUAGAGUGCGGUAGGGGUCAGGGGAAUUCCCAGUGUAGCGGUGAAAUGCGUAGAUAUUGGGAAGAACACCAGCGGCGAAAGCGCGUGACUGGGCCUGAACUGACACUGAGGGACGAAAGCUAGGGGAGCGAAUGGGAUUAGAUACCCCAGUAGUC